CACAGAAUGUAGUACGACUUAAUCAUCAAACACUAUGCGAUACAAUGAAUUUAAGAAAAUCAUUUAAAAAACAUAGUCUAAAGUAUUCUAAAGGCAUUGAAAAAAAUAAAUGUGCACCACUGUUGUUAACUAAGUUUAGAUCAACAUCUGACGAGGUAAAAAAUUUAAUAAUCUAUUCCCUCCAAAGGCUUGAAGAGUAUUUUAUAUUUAUGCUUCAAAGCUCUAAUAAAACCAUGUACCAAUUAAACAAGGACCAAAUGGAUCAAAAUGUGUUAAGUCCCUUUAAAAAAUUAUGCGGUGAUGUACCGGAAAUACUUCUGUACAUACAUGAACAUAAAACUAAUGACCCGAUUGACUUAACUUUGUUUAAUCUGUUUUUAUCACUUUGCGGAAAUAACAUGGACUUUAUCGAUCUCCGGUGUCCCGCUAAAUACGGAAGUGAAUUUGAUAGCAUAUUAUUAUAUCAAGAGAAAUGUAUUAGGGAAGCGAUAAGAGUUAAAUUACUGUGGAAUUAUUAUGUUCGAAAUGAAACAAUUUUAGAAAUAGAUGA